AUUGAACGCUGGCGGCAUGCCUUACACAUGCAAGUCGAACGGCAGCGCGGGAGCAAUCCUGGCGGCGAGUGGCGAACGGGUGAGUAAUACAUCGGAACGUGCCCAAUCGUGGGGGAUAACGCAGCGAAAGCUGUGCUAAUACCGCAUACGAUCUACGGAUGAAAGCAGGGGAUCGCAAGACCUUGCGCGAAUGGAGCGGCCGAUGGCAGAUUAGGUAGUUGGUGAGGUAAAGGCUCACCAAGCCUUCGAUCUGUAGCUGGUCUGAGAGGACGACCAGCCACACUGGGACUGAGACACGGCCCAGACUCCUACGGGAGGCAGCAGUGGGGAAUUUUGGACAAUGGGCGCAAGCCUGAUCCAGCCAUGCCGCGUGCAGGAUGAAGGCCUUCGGGUUGUAAACUGCUUUUGUACGGAACGAAACGGCUCUUUCUAAUAAAGAGGGCUAAUGACGGUACCGUAAGAAUAAGCACCGGCUGACUACGUGCCAGCCGCCGCCGUAAGAC
rnacentral:rRNA from 1 species